rnacentral:rRNA from 1 species
GACGAACGCUGGCGGCGUGCUUAACACAUGCAAGUCGAACGGAAAGGCCCUGCUUUUGUGGGGUGCUCGAGUGGCGAACGGGUGAGCAACACGUGAGUAACCUGCCCUUGACUUUGGGAUAACUUCAGGAAACUGGGGCUAAUACCGGAUAGGAGCUCCUGCUGCAUGGUGGGGGUUGGAAAGUUUCGGCGGUUGGGGAUGGACUCGCGGCUUAUCAGCUUGUUGGUGGGGUAGUGGCUUACCAAGGCUUUGACGGGUAGCCGGCCUGAGAGGGUGACCGGCCACAUUGGGACUGAGAUACGGCCCAGACUGCUACGGGAGGCAGCAGUGGGGAAUAUUGCACAAUGGGCGGAAGCCUGAUGCAGCAACGCCGCGUGCGGGAUGACGGCCUUCGGGUUGUAAACCGCUUUCGCCUGUGACGAAGCGUGAGUGACGGUAAUGGGUAAAGAAGCACCGGCUAACUACGUG